AACGUAGGUACCGAGCGUUAUCCGGAUUUACUGGGCGUAAAGCGCGUUCAGGCGGUUUGGCAAGUCGGGCAUGAAAUCUCUCGGCUCAACCGGGAGAGGUUGUCCGAUACUGCUGGACUUGAGGGCAGUAGAGGGUGGUGGAAUUCCGGGUGUAGUGGUGAAAUGCGUUGAUAUCCGGAGGAACACCAGUGGCGAAAGCGGCCACCUGGACUGUACCUGACGCUAACACGCGAAAGCUAGGGGAGCGAACGGG
rnacentral:rRNA from 1 species